GUUGACUACGUUGAGGUGAAUCGCCAUAUGCAGCAGGUUUAAGUCAUGCAUUAUGGACCCAAUCACCAAGAUCAGCCAUUUACCUGGAAGGGCCAGAAUCACUCCAGCUACCACAAACA